UGGGGAAUAUUGCACAAUGGGCGCAAGCCUGAUGCAGCGACGCCGCGUGAGGGAUGACGGCCUUCGGGUUGUAAACCUCUGUUAGCAGGGAAGAAGAGAGAUUGACGGUACCUGCAGAGAAAGCGCCGGCUAACUACGUGCCAGCAGCCGCGGUAAUACGUAGGGCGCGAGCGUUGUCCGGAAUUAUUGGGCGUAAAGAGCUUGUAGGCGGUUUGUCGCGUCUGCUGUGAAAGGCCGGAGCUUAACUCCGUGUAUUGCAGUGGGUACGGGCAGACUAGAGUGCAGUAGGGGAGACUGGAAUUCCUGGUGUAGCGGUGGAAUGCGCAGAUAUCAGGAGGAACACCGAUGGCGAAGGCAGGUCUCUGGGCUGUAACUGACGCUGAGAAGCGAAAGCAUGGGGAGCGAACAGGAUUAGAUACCCUGGUAGUCCAUGCCGUAAACGUUGGGCACUAGGUGUGGGGGACAUUCCACGUUUUCCGCGCCGUAGCUAACGCAUUAAGUGCCCCGCCUGGGGAGUACGGCCGCAAGGCUA
rnacentral:rRNA from 1 species